GUCGGCAGUUUUCGUAUUUCGCCGACUUCGGUGACUGCAGAAAGUCGAAACAGUAGAGAGCCUGUUGAAUUGCAGCGGUAGACUUGUCUGGCAUCAUUUGGUAGUCGUCAAACUUAUUCUCCCCGAGUUGUAGCGGAAUGAUACCAGAAAUUCGUGCCAAGCUGUGUGCAACCAAGGGGUUUGUUACUUAAGAUCCACAUGGGAGGAGCGUCCCUACCAGCA
rnacentral:pre_miRNA from 1 species